GAAUUUUUAAAUAUUUAGACACUUUGGGAAUGCAGCUGGAGAGGGGAAAAGAAAAAAAAAAAAAAAAAAAAAAAAAAAAACAAAACACACACACACACGCGCACGCACGCACGCACGCCCUCAGAACUGUGUUCAUGUUAAAAUAUUUUACAGUUUUCAUCAGUCACAUUGUAACUGUGGUUCUCCUGCAAAAACAAUUCCAGCUCACUUUGAGCAAAAAAUUAAAUUAAAUUAAAAAAAAUAAUAAAAAAGUAUAAUGAAAAUCCAAAUAAAGAAAAAACAAACAAUCUAGUGUCAAUCCAGUGUCAAGUUGAUUAUUUAAUGUUACACCAUUACACGGUGUCGAUUCUUCAAAAAGUGCUGGUGACUCCGUUUCAACGAACAAACGAACAACAUCACAGAGACAUCUCUUUCAGCCGAACACAGGCAUGUCGAAUUCGGUCAGAUGCUUUCAAAUGACCUUUAACAUUGGGAUAAGAAACAGCUGGAAGAAAACAGGAAUGAGAUAAAAGCCUGCAUCAGGCUCAGUACUUCACGCUCGGGUCAUAUCCGAAUUCUCGUGGCCCUGCGCCAUCACGUUAAACAGCUAACAGUUAACCAGCUGAUUCGGAGAACAGGAAACGACUUUUAAAUUCAGCUUCAUCGGAAAAAGUUAGCAUCUUCAGUAGAGUUUUCUUUUAUUAAAAAGGGAGUUCUGAUAAAAACUAAAAAAAAUAAAUAAAAAGCAGGGAUGUUUCUUUUCCCGUCUUCCUCCUGGACAGGGUACGAUUAUAGUACGUGAUCACUCUAACUGUAAAAUAAAAUACAAUCAUUUUCUUUUAAUCAUAUGUAAUCGUAUGAAUCAUUGAUAAUUAAUUGCAAUGAAUUAACACUUUAUUCAAAAAAAAAAAAUAAUAAUAAUAAUAAUAUUAUAACCAUUAUAUUAUAAUAAUUACAUAAACAAAUCUGGAUGUAGGAUGGGGGUCAAAUAAUUAUUUUCCAUCCGAACGAAUCGUAAUAUUAAAAAUAAAACCGUGAUUCCAAAUCCAGAUGUGAGGAAGUGAUCACAAUCCUGUUAUUAAACAAGACCAAAUCAAUUUCUCUUCAUCGCAGUGUUGUGAUGCUGGUGUACAGGAAAUACCGCCUCGUUAUCAGCUUUUUU
ensembl:lncRNA